UUAAAAGUAGAAAUCCAAGGCUAUAUUUGAAACAAGGAGAUCAUGCAAGUCUAGAUUUUACUAAAUUACAAGCUUAGAUCAACUUUUUUUAAUUGGAAAAAGGGCAAGAAAACAAUCUGCUGAAGUGAAAAUGCAUUUGUUUUAUCAGAAACAAAAGGUAUAUUAAUUAUGAAAAUGGUACAAGAGAAGUAUGAGAGGUCCUCCCUGCAAGGUAAAUAUGCAUGACCAACACACCAUGGAAAGAUGCUACAGAGCAAGCUGAUCAUGAUGAUAAUAACCAAGUUAAUAAACUGAGGGACCCUUAAAGUUGAUGUUCCAUAUACUAUAAACCAAUAAAUUUUAAAUUUUAAAAAAACGACCGACUUUUUCCAUAAUCUGCAGAUGACAUUAUGCCCAACAGAGGACAUAAAAAAGAAACGAACAAAAAGUAAAAAAGACCAGCACUCAAUCACCACACUGAUUUAUAGAGAGAUGGGCAAAAGAAACUAAAUCAAUAACAGUUCCCGAAUGCUGUCAAUAUCGAAUACUGCUUACUUGUACUAUGAUAAUUCAAUAAGAAUACAGUAUGUUCGUAGGCGCGAUGGCAUCUUUACGAACAGAAUAUUUAAUCGAUGCGCAAAAAUAAUAUUGAACCGAUAAUUUCCCAAAUCUAUUGGAAAUGAAAAAACACACACACGCCCACAAAAACAAUUGAGCAGCAUUUUUUUUGGUAGAUAGAAUAUUAAGUCACUCAUAAAUAACACUAUCUAACCUAAUAAAUAUGUUCACGCUAAUAUUAAAAAAUUCACUUCAAAUUUCCGCUAAAUCUAGUACGAUAGCACAAAAAACCACAACUCCCAGCGCUUCAGAAAAAUUCACACAUUCAAUUUAAGAAAAAGAAGCUGCGUUCCCUACCUAAUCCAAAGAAUAGACGGGCAAUGAAAUAUCUGGAUUAAGGAAAAAUAAUCAGACGCACAUUCAAACUUCGAAAAGAAGCAGAAAUCCGAACAUCCGCAGCAAGCGAUUGGUCAGCGGAGCUGAUCGCGAUUCAGAAUCGGAGGGAGCGAAACCCUAGAACUGAACCCCGAGAAGAGUCGGACCGAAUGGAAAAGCAGAAGAAAAGAGGAAUAAAAAUGCGGAGGAAGUCGAGACUCAAAGACGAGAUCAGAAACGGGUGGGGAGGUCCUUCUUUGAAUUUACCUUUUUUAUUACAACGAUUAUAUUUUUUUUUUUAAUUUAUAUAUUAUCGAUUGAGCGGAAUUAUGCCUUGUGCGUAUAAAGAAACAAAAAUCUGAAACGGACUGCCACGUGGGAGAUAUACCUCUUUUAGCGUGCUCACCAAAUUGGUGUGACGAUUGAUAUGAUCCGCCCCCGAGCCCGUGGAUUUGCCGUAACGCUUUCAUUCUCUUCUUUUUCUUUGUUUUUUGAGUGAGACUUUCUUAAGAAAU
rnacentral:lncRNA from 1 species